AGGCUCGGAGCAGAGCAGAGGUCGCGUUGUUGCCGCACUUCAUUUGCUUUCCACAAGGGAAAAAAGGAAGAUGGAAAAAAGGACAACAUACAAAAUGUACAGCUGUCGAAUUCACAGCUCAACUAAAGGGUGCGUUUCCACCACACCAGGUCAACCGGGAAAAGCCCUGAACUUACAAGCUAAAAGGAGCCAUAUCGCCACCUAUUGAAGCUGGUGGAUGGUGGAGCGGAUUAAGAAGGUGGAGAGGCCUGCUUCAUCGGCAGUUUGGACCCCCCCCCCCC